AUCGACAAGUUGUUUUUUUUUUAAAUUAAAUUCUCAAAAUUUUUAUUUUAGAAAAGUUUUCAAUUUUAUAGAAAAAUAUUGUUGAUUUGGGGUUUUUAUUUUGAAAUUGCGAUAACAAGCAUUGUUGUUGAUAGAUGAGUAUUCUUUUAGAUUUUUUUGAUCAAUAUGUUGUAUUUUUAAAUUAAAAUUCAGAAAAAUUCUGUUUUAGGAAAGUUUUCAUUUUUACAUAAAAAUAUUGUUGAUUUGGGGUUGUGAUUUUUAAAUUAGGAUAACAAUAUUUUAAGUUGAUAGACAGGCAUUUCUUAAGAUUUUUUUUAUCAACAAGUUGUAUUUGUAAAAUAAAAUUAUCAUAAAUUCUAUUUUAGGAAAUUUUUCAUUUUUAUAGAAAAAUAUUGUUGGUUUGGGGUCGUGAUUUUUAAAUUAGGAUAACAAGAUUUUUAAAUUAGGAUAACAAGAUUAUUUAAAAUUCUAUUUUAGGAAAAUUUCAUUUUUACAGAAAAGUAUUAAAGAUUUGGUAGUUGUGAUUUAGAAAUUAGGAUA
rnacentral:lncRNA from 1 species